ACGCUGGCUUGUUGUCUAGCGUUAGCGGUAGUCUUUAAAAACAUGGAGCCGACACGGCCAGGCGAGUAAGCUCUGCCUGUUCCACGCAGUUCUGCAUCAGCAUUGGUUCUGCUGCUAUUGCUUGUCCGCGAGCUAUCCCUGCUGAGGCAGCGUUCGGCAUUCCCACGGUUCCCUUUGGAGAGUGUUUCACUUGGUGACCUGCGUUCCUGCAGUAGCCCUCGGUUUCAUCUGUGCUCCGCAUCUACGCGCUUACUACUUGCAUCCUUUGCAGUGGUUUAUCCAGUCUUCUUCCUCCCUCCGCGUUCUGGGUCCACAUUCGCGACAUUUGCCUCCGAGAUCAGCUGGGUAUUCGGCCCCGGUGCAUGUAAAUAUCAGGCUUUGGGCCGCCGGGUACUCUCAUUCCCUCUCUACUGGGCCUACAACGAGCAGCGCCUCUGCAUCGUCGGGCUCUGCUCCGGCUGCUGUUCUGCUUUUAUUGAGUUUCUUUCAUUUAUAGGAUAUUCUCACGCUGUUGCUUGUCUCGUCUCACGGCGGCACCGCACUGAGAGGGGCCGCGCACCACAAUAGCAUACGGCAGCGUGUGUGGGCCCACUGCAGCCAGUGUGUGCUUGAGUGUAUGUGUGUUGGUGUGUGUGUCAGUGUGUGUGCGUCCUUGCGAGUUUUGUGUGGGGGGGCGCGUGAGUAAGUGGGUAUUACCCACUCACUAUUGAGUAUAUUUUUUUGUGUUCUGGUUUAUUUUAUUUUAUUGUUUUGUGUUUUGAUUUAUUCUGUUAAUUUAUCGUUUGUGAUUUCUGUACGUAUCCCGUGGGCAUUGGUCAAGUUCACAGGGCCUGUGUGGGCCUCACAUUUUGUCCCUCACGACUUGUUGUGUUGGUUAAGGCACUUUGCUGUGCCCCUCGGGGGUGCGAUAUUUGCUGUGUGUGUAUAGCUUGCUGUGCGUGUGUGCUAUCACUGUGGUUUGUGAGUUACCUUACUACUAGCCCUGUGGUCACUGUACCGUGUUAAUUGUAUUUUCUUUUCUUUUCUUUGGCAGGACCAGGGAUGACCAGCAGGGGGCCAAGCCGUUGGUGGUGGGUAUCCGUGUCUGUGAGUUCACAUUUAUGGUAGUGUAGCGGCACCUGGGUGUGCAGUGCAGUGUAUAUCACGUGUGGUCCUUCUGACCCACUCCAUAGCUACGGUCCUCCCUCUGGUAAGCCCUCUGUCGUUUUGCUUUAUUAAUUAAUGUACGUGUUUAUGUUUGUUUGUAUUGUAUUUCUGGUGGGCCUACCGAUAACCAUACCCACAGCAGUUUGCAUGUGAGCGCGUAUGUGUGUGUGAGUGUGUACGUGCGCAAUCAUUUAACAGAACCUUUGAAAAACAUUUUAAAGAGUUGAGAAAUAUUUGAAAAUAAAUAAACAUUUAUACGAUUGGAAAUAGAACCUUGUCUCUGUUUUGAUUUGCACAAACCUGAUUGCCUUUGUGCGGGUACAUUGUGAAACGUGGUAACUGUGAUCAAUCUGGGUGUUUGUAACCAUAAAUUCACUUUCCCUCGGGGGAUCAUACUCCCCGGGGGUGGCGUAGUCGAAAGUACUUAUUGGUUUCUGCCACUUACUACAA